UCACAAUAUUCAUCCAAAUAUCUUUGAUGGAGUACUUCAUUUCAUAUUUUAGAAUGUUGUAGUGCAACAACUAAUUUUUAGUGGCUUUACCUUGUUAUAAGAUUUCACCUGUGUGCAUAAAUGCAUGUCUCUCCAAUAAUGGGUCUGAAAUAUAUAGAAAAAGGAGGGGUUUGGCUGUAGUGGGUUUUCUUGGUGGAGUGCCGUCUGUCGUUCUAGCUUUUUGGAUUUAGGACUUAGGAAUUAUUUUAUAGGAAGUACGAAUUAGGUUAGGUCAAACCAAAAAAAUAUAUGGCCUCAAUGUUUUAGAUUAUUCGGGUCUUUCCAAUUUAAAAUCUUAAUCUUUUCCAUAAAUAAUGUAAGAUAUAUACUAUAA
rnacentral:lncRNA from 1 species